rnacentral:lncRNA from 1 species
GGGCCAGUCUAUUGGCUCAGUCGCUCCCUAGCAACUCUGGGUUGUGUUGCUGGUAGGCGUGUUGUCGCAGCCACGUUUUGGGGUGCGAGUUGAAGGUGCUUCGAGUCAAUCCAUUUUCAUCGUUUGAAAUAUGAAGUGUGUACCUGUGGCUAUUCAACGUGCCGGUAUCGAGCUACCACGUGUGUACCGGACCGCGCGGCGGUCACGUAAAACACGAACUGGCCCUGCUGGCGUGAGCUGAACAGUGCUGUGGAUGUAGGCGUCCGUUACACUCUCCCUGCCGGCGUAAGCCGAACACUGAUGUGGAGGCACCGUAAUACUCUGUCUGGUCCCUGCCGGCGUAAGCUUAACACUGCUAUCGAGGGGCAACUACCCGCACUCUUGCAAUGUAAGAGGACGAGGAGGAAGUGAAGCGAAAGAUGGCUGAACAUGAGCGCUGGUGGAUGUAUCAUCUUGCCACAUCUCAAAGGUUUCCUUGAAAUGCCUGUGCAGUCAAAUGCAGUCGGUGAGAAGGCUUUUCACUGCCUUGGCUCCUCUAGGCUUCUCGCUGUGCUUCUACUGCUGUAGUGGGCUUUUCCCAGUGCCUCGGCUGCUCUAGUUGGUGAGUGGAUCUGUUCCAAU